AACGCACAUUGCGCCCCUUGGUAUUCCAUGGGGCAUGCCUGUUCGAGCGUCAUUUGUACCCUCAAGCUCUGCUUGGUGUUGGGUGUUUUGUCCUCUCCAUUGCGUUUGGACUCGCCUUAAAGCAAUUGGCAGCCAGUGUAUUGGUUUUAAGCGCAGCACAUCUUGCGUCUUAUUCUUAUAACACUAGCGUCCAUCAAGCCUUUUUAUCACUUUUGACCUCGGAUCAGGUAGGGAUACCCGCUGAACUUAA
rnacentral:misc_RNA from 1 species